rnacentral:rRNA from 1 species
UACGAAGGGGGCUAGCGUUGUUCGGAAUCACUGGGCGUAAAGCGCACGUAGGCGGAUUGUUAAGUCGGGGGUGAAAUCCUGAGGCUCAACCUCAGAACUGCCUUCGAUACUGGCAAUCUCGAGUCCGGAAGAGGUUGGUGGAACAGCUAGUGUAGAGGUGAAAUUCGUAGAUAUUAGCUAGAACACCAGUGGCGAAGGCGGCCAACUGGUCCGGUACUGACGCUGAGGUGCGAAAGCGUGGGGAGCAAACGGG